UACAGAGGGUGCAAGCGUUAAUCGGAAUUACUGGGCGUAAAGCGUGCGUAGACGGUCAUGUAAGUCGGGUGUGAAAGCCCCGGGCUCAACCUGGGAAUUGCAUUCGAGACUGCAUGGCUAGGGUGCGGAAGAGGGAAGCGGAAUUUCCGGUGUAGCGGUGAAAUGCGUAGAUAUCGGAAGGAACACCAGUGGCGAAAGCGGCUUCCUGGUCCAGCACCGACGUCAGGCACGAAAGCGUGGGGAGCAAACAGGG
rnacentral:rRNA from 1 species